rnacentral:rRNA from 2 species
GGCUCAGAUUGAACGCUGGCGGCAUGCCUUACACAUGCAAGUCGAGCGGCAGCAUGAUCUAGCUUGCUAGAUUGAUGGCGAGUGGCGAACGGGUGAGUAAUACAUCGGAACGUGCCCUGUAGUGGGGGAUAACUAGUCGAAAGAUUAGCUAAUACCGCAUACGACCUGAGGGUGAAAGUGGGGGACCGCAAGGCCUCAUGCUAUAGGAGCGGCCGAUGUCUGAUUAGCUAGUUGGUGGGGUAAAGGCCCACCAAGGCGACGAUCAGUAGCUGGUCUGAGAGGACGAUCAGCCACACUGGGACUGAGACACGGCCCAGACUCCUACGGGAGGCAGCAGUGGGGAAUUUUGGACAAUGGGCGAAAGCCUGAUCCAGCAAUGCCGCGUGUGUGAAGAAGGCCUUCGGGUUGUAAAGCACUUUUGUCCGGAAAGAAAUGGCUCUGGUUAAUACCUGGGGUCGAUGACGGUACCGGAAGAAUAAGGACCGGCUAACUACGUGCCAGCAGCCGCGGUAAUACGUAGGGUCCAAGCGUUAAUCGGAAUUACUGGGCGUAAAGCGUGCGCAGGCGGUUGUGCAAGACCGAUGUGAAAUCCCCGAGCUUAACUUGGGAAUUGCAUUGGUGACUGCACGGCUAGAGUGUGUCAGAGGGGGGUAGAAUUCCACGUGUAGCAGUGAAAUGCGUAGAGAUGUGGAGGAAUACCGAUGGCGAAGGCACCCCCCUGGGAUAACACUGACGCUCAUGCACGAAAGCGUGGGGAGCAAACAGGAUUAGAUACCCUGGUAGUCCACGCCCUAAACGAUGUCAACUAGUUGUUGGGGAUUCAUUUCCUUAGUAACGUAGCUAACGCGUGAAGUUGACCGCCUGGGGAGUACGGUCGCAAGAUUAAAACUCAAAGGAAUUGUCGGGGACCCGCACAAGCGGUGGAUGAUGUGGAUUAAUUCGAUGCAACGCGAAAAACCUUACCUACCCUUGACAUGCCACUAACGAAGCAGAGAUGCAUUAGGUGCUCGAAAGAGAAAGUGGACACAGGUGCUGCAUGGCUGUCGUCAGCUCGUGUCGUGAGAUGUUGGGCUAAGUCCCGCAACGAGCGCAACCCUUGUCUCUAGUUGCUACGAAAGGGCACUCUAGAGAGACUGCCGGUGACAAACCGGAGGAAGGUGGGGAUGACGUCAAGUCCUCAUGGCCCUUAUGGGUAGGGCUUCACACGUCAUACAAUGGUGCAUACAGAGGGUUGCCAAGCCGCGAGGUGGAGCUAAUCCCAGAAAAUGCAUCGUAGUCCGGAUCGUAGUCUGCAACUCGACUACGUGAAGCUGGAAUCGCUAGUAAUCGCGGAUCAGCAUGCCGCGGUGAAUUCGUUCC